CCAAAAAGCCUUUAUGAAAAUGUUUUUGAGCUUUGAAAAACAGAAGGGAGUUGGAACGUUGGUGGGGCCACGGCGUGACCAUGAAAUGUGCCAUUCCGGUCGGCUCUGAGCGUUAGGCUGGCCUCGCUCCACUGAUGGAGAAACAGCCCCCUUUUCUCCCCAAAGGGAGAGCCCAUUUUUGCGGAUGGGCGAGGUCCCCUGACCCCACAGACUUCAGCUACAGCUUUUGAUGGAGUUCCUGAAGGGCACCAUGAGAUGAGUAGGCUCCAAGCACACAGCAGAAUGAAACUUGCUGGAGGAGAAGAGAGGCUCAGGUUCCCCGCUGUCAGCAAAAAGCCC
rnacentral:lncRNA from 1 species